rnacentral:sRNA from 1 species
CCCUAGCUGGGAGGGGCCGCAAGGCGCACCCAGCGGCAGAUUAGCCGGUUAGUGCUGCUUUUCAAGAAAACACCGGCAGUC